CACCGACGAUGAGAGAAAGUGGAGGCGUUGGGAAGCCAGGGCUUGAAGUCCAGCGGUGAGGACAGGCUUCCUAGCGAUCUUAUGACUAUCUUAAGAAGAAUUUUUUUUGGCUAAUACCCCAACCUAAGCCCCAUGGACUGUAGCCCACCAUGCUCCUCU